UCCGACCUCAGAUCGGACGAGAUUACCCGCUGAAUUUAAGCAUAUCACUAAGCGGAGGAAAAAAAACU
rnacentral:rRNA from 2 species